GAAGGAACCGUUGAGUGGGGCCCUCAAAGUCACACCUUCUCAACUCUGAGCAGGUGGUGAAGGGGACCUGUACAUAAGGAGGAGCCCCUAGCCAUAUGGGGGUGACAGGCUUCACCAGGAAACUGCUUAUUCACCCCUGCUAGGUACCGACACAGGCACUGCCCCGCUCGCCCAUCAGUGCUGUUGUUAGAUCCCUGCUGCAGACAAGACUCAUCUUGAGAUAACUUGCUCAAGGCUACCAGACCUGGCCCCCCCUCCACACCUGAACAGGUGGCGUUGGAUUCGUCCUCACUGUUCCCGCAGUCGUUAUCCCCAUCGCAGAGCCAGCGGUUGGGGAUGCAGCGGUUGUUCUCGCACUUGAACCGGUCCGAGGGACAGGUGUGUUGAUCUGGGAGGGGAAGCAGGUCAGGGUCAGUGCGGUGGCUCGGGUGGCGGCAGAGCCUCGCUGCCCGGCCACCGGGGUGGACGGGGUGACUCACGGCACAGCGCAGGGGCCUCGUCACUGUUGUCCAGACAGUCGUUGUCUCCGUCGCACUUCCAGCGCUCCUGGAUGCAGCGGCUGUUGGCACAGGCAAACUCGCCCGGCUGGCACUGGGGUGGGGGCACGUAGGAUGGGUUCGCUGUGGGCACCACAGGAGUGUGAGGGGGACGGUUAGGCCCGGGCCACGGGACAGGCGCUAAGAUUCCCUUACUUCUCUUGUGAUUUGUUGUUUUUGAUAACAUACAGAGUAAAAUUUCCCCCUAGAA